rnacentral:rRNA from 1 species
UACGGAGGAUGCGGGCGUUAUCCGGAUUUAUUGGGUUUAAAGGGAGCGCAGGCGAGCGCUUAAGCGUGCUGUGAAAUGCCGCGGCUCAACCGUGGAAGUGCAGCGCGAACUGGGUGUCUUGAGUGGGUACGACGCGGACGGAAUUCGUGGUGUAGCGGUGAAAUGCUUAGAUAUCACGAAGAACCCCGAUUGCGAAGGCAGUCCGCGAGUCCCUUACUGACGCUAAAGCUCGAAGGUGCGGGUAUCGAAC